UGCCAGCCGCCGCGGUAAUACGAAGGGAGCUAGCGUUGUUCGGAAUUACUGGCGUAAAGCGCACGUAGGCGGAUAUGUAGGUCAGGGGUGAAAUCCCGGGGCUCAACCUCGGAACUGCCUUUGAUACUGCAUAUCUUGAGUCCGGAAGAGGUGAGUGGAAUUCCUAGUGUAGAGGUGAAAUUCAUAGAUAUUAGGAAGAACACCAGUGGCGAAGGCGGCUCACUGGUCCGGUACUGACGCUGAGAUGCGAAAGCGUGGGGAGCAAACAGGAUUAGAUA
rnacentral:rRNA from 1 species